rnacentral:misc_RNA from 1 species
GCUCGCUUGAAAUGAAUUAGCAGAUCCUUUUGUAAUCGGUUCCACUCGACGUGAUAAGUAUUUCGCCGAGGACAUAAGCAAUUAUGGCCGAGAUAAGAAAAGUCUUUAGACCCGCUUCUAAUUCUUAGAUAGAGCUUGCUCUACUAAACCCCAUUUUAUGAUCUGGCCUCAAAUCAGGUAGGACUACCCGCUGAACUUAA